GACGACGCUGGGCGGCGUGCCUAACACAUGCAAGUCGAGCGAAUGAAGUUCCUUCGGGAACGGAUUUAGCGGCGGACGGGUGAGUAACACGUGGGCAACCUACCUCAUAGAGGGGAAUAGCCUUCCGAAAGGGAGAUUAAUACCGCAUAAGAUUGUAGUACCGCAUGGUACAGCAAUUAAAGGAGCAAUCCGCUAUGAGAUGGGCCCGCGGCGCAUUAGCUAGUUGGUGAGGUAACGGCUCACCAAGGCGACGAUGCGUAGCCGACCUGAGAGGGUGAUCGGCCACAUUGGGACUGAGACACGGCCCAGACUCCUACGGGAGGCAGCAGUGGGGAAUAUUGGGCAAUGGGGGGAACCCUGACCCAGCAACGCCGCGUGAGGGAAGAAGGCCUUCGGGUUGUAAACCUCUGUCAUUAGGGAAGAAGAAAGUGACGGUACCUAAUGAGGAAGCCCCGGCUAACUACGUG
rnacentral:rRNA from 1 species